UACGGAGGGAGCUAGCGUUGUUCGGAAUUACUGGGCGUAAAGCGCGCGUAGGCGGCUUUGUAAGUUAGAGGUGAAAGUCCGGGGCUCAACCCCGGAACUGCCUUUAAGACUGCAUCGCUUGAAUCCGGGAGAGGUGAGUGGAAUUCCGAGUGUAGAGGUGAAAUUCGUAGAUAUUCGGAAGAACACCAGUGGCGAAGGCGGCUCACUGGACCGGCAUUGACGCUGAGGUGCGAAAGCGUGGGGAGCAAACAGG
rnacentral:rRNA from 1 species